rnacentral:rRNA from 1 species
AACGAACGCUGGCGGCAUACCUAACACAUGCCAGUCGAACGAGACCUUCGGGUCUAGUGGCGCACGGGUGCGUAACGCGUGGGAACCUGCCCUUAGGUUCGGAAUAACUCCCCGAAAGGGGUGCUAAUACCGGAUAAUGUCUUCGGACCAAAGAUUUAUCGCCUUUGGAUGGGCCCGCGUUGGAUUAGCUAGUUGGUAGGGUAAAAGCCUACCAAGGCGACGAUCCAUAGCUGGUCUGAGAGGAUGAUCAGCCACACUGGGACUGAGACACGGCCCAGACUCCUACGGGAGGCAGCAGUGGGGAAUAUUGGACAAUGGGCGAAAGCCUGAUCCAGCAAUGCCGCGUGAGUGAUGAAGGCCUUAGGGUUGUAAAGCUCUUUUACCCGGGAUGAUAAUGACAGUACCGGGAGAAUAAGCUCCGGCUAACUCCGUG